ensembl:snRNA U6 U6 spliceosomal RNA
GUUUCAAGAUAAGAAGGCAAUUGGAAUGAUGCAGAGAAGAUUAGCAUGGCCCCUGAACAUGGCUGACAUACCAACUCUCAAAGCAUUUUGUAUUUUU